rnacentral:rRNA from 1 species
CCUACGGGUGGCUGCAGUGAGGAAUAUUGGACAAUGGGCGUAAGCCUGAACCAGCGAAGUCGCGUGAGGGAUGAAGGUUCUAUGGAUCGUAAACCUCUUUUAUAAGGGAAUAAAGUGCGGGACGUGUCCCGUUUUGUAUGUACCUUAUGAAUAAGGAUCGGCUAACUCCGUGCAAGCAGCCGCGGUAAUACGGAGAAUCCGAGCGUUAUCCGGGUUUAUUGGGUUUAAAGGGUGCGUAGGCGGCCGUUUAAGUCAGCGGUGAAAGUCUGUGGCUCAACCAUAGAACUGCCGUUGAAACUGGGAGGCUGGAGUAUGUGUGAGGCAGGCGGAAUGCGUGGUGUAGCGGUGAAAUGCGUAGAUAUCACGCAGAACCCCGAUUGCGAAGGCAGCCUGCCAGGCCAUGACUGACGCUGAUGCACGAAGGCGUGGGGAUCAAACAGGAUUAGAUACCCUGGUAGUC